CGAAGGGGCUAGCGUUGCUCGGAAUUACUGGGCGUAAAGGGCGCGUAGGCGGCUUGGCCAGUCAGGCGUGAAAUUCCUGGGCUUAACCUGGGGACUGCGCUUGAUACUGCUGAGCUUGAGGCCGAGAGAGGGUGGUGGAAUUCCCAGUGUAGAGGUGAAAUUCGUAGAUAUUGGGAAGAACACCGGUGGCGAAGGCGACCACCUGGCUCGGUACUGACGCUGAGGCGCGACAGCGUGGGAGCAAACAGGAUU
rnacentral:rRNA from 1 species